UGGCGGGUCGUCCAACGGUAGGACAACGGACUCUGGAUCCGUUUAUUGGGGUUCGAAUCCCUGCCCGCCAGCCA
rnacentral:tRNA from 1 species